CCCUGCAGAUCUGAUUGGGCGAAGGAUGCUGGGCGGGAAAACGGCAUGUGCUGUAGGCGGAACGUUUACAUGUGGGAGGGGCGUACUACUUGGCUCCGCCCAGCUUGGCUGCACAUCUUGUCCUUCGAGGUUACGGGGGCGGGAGAUAAAACUUGAGCUGGCUGCUGAUUGGCGUAAGGAUGUUAUGUGUCUCCACCUCCCGUGCGCUUAUUGGUCUGUGAGAGACAAUAUUGUGCCAAGGGGCGGGGUUGGCAGAAGUAGCGCUGACUUAUCCCGGAGCUACCUGAGAGGAACCCCGGCAGCGACACCGACCCGCCCGGCCUGGGGCAGCGACACCGAGCGACUGGAAAUAACCUCUCCUGUAGUGCUGUGUGGCACUCAGCAAGUAGCCCUGGGGUGGGAGGGGCCCGGAGACCCCGGGUGGGAGGGGCACAGCAACUGUACAGCAAGGAGGAAGUGGGUGACCCUAAAAGGGGAGUGGCAGAAAGACACAGCCCUAUAGGGGUUUGGUGGCAUGGGGAAGGGCUAAUGGGCUUCUAGUUACCCAGGGUCAGGCCCCAGUGAGUGUUACCCCAGUGAGUGUUACCCCAGUGAGUGUUACCCCAGGGUCAGGCCCCAGUGAGUGUUACCCCAGUGAGUGUUACCCCAGUGAGUGUUACCCCAGGGUCAGGCCCCAGUGAGUGUUACCCCAGUGAGUGUUACCCCAGUGAGUGUUACCCCAGUGAGUGUUACCCCAGUGAGUGUUACCCCAGUGAGUGUUACCCCAGGGUCAGGCCCCAGUGAGUGUUACCCCAGUGAGUGUUACCCCAGGGUCAGGCCCCAGUGAGUGUUACCCCAGGGUCAGGCCCCAGUGAGUGUUACCCCAGUGAGUGUUGCCCCAGGGUCAGGCCCCAGUGUCAGGCCCCAGUGAGUGUUACCCCAGGGUCAGGCCCCAGUGAGUGUUACCCCAGGGUCAGGUCCCA